rnacentral:rRNA from 1 species
GACGAACGCUGGCGGCGUGCUUAACACAUGCAAGUCGAACGGUGAAGCGCUUUCCUUUUUGGUUGGUGUGGAUGAGUGGCGAACGGGUGAGUAACACGUGAGUAACCUGCCCCCUUCUUCUGGAUAACCGCAUGAAAGUGUGGCUAAUACGGGAUAUUCUGCGCCUGCUGCAUGGUGGGUGUGGGAAAGAUUGUGCCUUUGGGUGUUUUCGGUGGGGGAUGGGCUCGCGGCCUAUCAGCUUGUUGGUGGGGUGAUGGCCUACCAAGGCGGUGACGGGUAGCCGGCCUGAGAGGGUGGACGGUCACACUGGGACUGAGACACGGCCCAGACUCCUACGGGAGGCAGCAGUGGGGAAUAUUGCACAAUGGGCGCAAGCCUGAUGCAGCGACGCCGCGUGAGGGAUGGAGGCCUUCGGGUUGUGAACCUCUUUCGCCAGUGAAGCAGGCCUGCUCCUUGUGGGUGGUUGACGGUAGCUGGAUAAGAAGCGCCGGCUAACUACGUG